AUGGCUUUGUUAGGGUUACAAAGAAUUGCGCCUCUUCAAAUUUUCGUAACAGAGAACUCUCUUCUCCUCUUCACGGUGCCGGUCUUCACCUUCUCUCUUCUCCGCUCAGACAAAGACCGUCGGCCGCCAUACCACUGUCAUCGGUCUUCCUUCAAUAGCUUUCAAUCCCGCUUCCGCUCCCCUAACCUCGAAUCCACUCCUCAUAGAAACUCAACGAAGACAGAGAGAGGAAUCGGCUCAGUUUCAGAGAUAAAGGAAAUUCUUGAAGAAGAGGCAGAGAAUUUCAUAGAGUUCUUGAGAUUUUUGAAAUGGUGA